GAUGAAGAACGUAGCGAAAUGCGAUAAGUAAUGUGAAUUGCAGAAUUCAGUGAAUCAUCGAAUCUUUGAACGCACAUUGCGCCCGCCAGUAUUCUGGCGGGCAUGCCUGUUCGAGUGUCAUUACAACCCUCAGGCCCCCGGGCCUGGCGUUGGGGAUCGGCGGAGCCCCCCGUGGGCACACGCCGUCCCCCAAAUGCAGUGGCGGUCCCGCCGCAGCUUCCAUCGCGUAGUAGCUAACACCUCGCGACUGGAGAGCGGCGCGGCCACGCCGUAAAACACCCAACUCUUCUGAAGUUGACCUCGAAUCAGGUAGGAAUACCCGCUGAACUUAAGCAUAUCAAUAAGCGGAGGA
rnacentral:misc_RNA from 1 species